UACAGGGGGCUCGAGCGUUAGUCGGAAUCACUGGGCUUAAAGGGUGCGUAGGUGGCUCAUCAAGUGUUUUGUGAAAGUCCCACAGCUCAACUGUGGAACAGCAGGGCAACUGAUGAGCUUGAGGCAGGUAGGGGCCGGAAGAACAGUUGGUGGAGCGGUGAAAUGCGUAGAUAUCAACUGGAAUGCCGAUGGGGAAGCCGUCCGGCCUGGGCCGUGUCCGUCGACA
rnacentral:rRNA from 1 species